rnacentral:rRNA from 1 species
GAUGAACGCUAGCGGCAGGCCUAAUACAUGCAAGUCGGACGGGAUUCGGGACUUCGGUUCCGAUGAGAGUGGCGCACGGGUGCGUAACACGUAUGUAACCUACCCUUGUCAGGGGGAUAGCCUCUCGAAAGAGAGAUUAAGCCCGCAUAACAUUAUGAUAUAGCAUUAUAUUAUAAUCAAAUAUUUAUAGGACGAGGAUGGGCAUGCGGAACAUUAGCAGUUGGUAAGGUAACGGCUUACCAAGGCGA